GAUGAACGCUGGCGGCGUGCCUAAUACAUGCCAGUCGAGCGAACAGACGAGGAGCUUGCUCCUCUGACGUUAGCGGCGGACGGGUGAGUAACACGUGGAUAACCUACCUAUAAGACUGGGAUAACUUCGGGAAACCGGAGCUAAUACCGGAUAAUAUAUUGAACCGCAUGGUUCAAUAGUGAAAGACGGUUUUGCUGUCACUUAUAGAUGGAUCCGCGCCGCAUUAGCUAGUUGGUAAGGUAACGGCUUACCAAGGCAACGAUGCGUAGCCGACCUGAGAGGGUGAUCGGCCACACUGGAACUGAGACACGGUCCAGACUCCUACGGGAGGCAGCAGUAGGGAAUCUUCCGCAAUGGGCGAAAGCCUGACGGAGCAGCGCCGCGUGAGUGAUGAAGGUCUUCGGAUCGUAAAACUCUGUUAUUAGGGAAGAACAAAUGUGGAAGUAACUAUGCACGUCUUGACGGUACCUAAUCAGAAAGCCACGGCUAACUACGUG
rnacentral:rRNA from 1 species